CGGCGCCACGAGUGGCAACCGCGAUUAUUGGGCCUAAAGCGUCCGUAGCCGGUUUGAUAAAUCUUUUGUGAAAUUGUCCAGCUUAACUGGUCACCGUGCAAGAGACACUGUCGAACUUGAGACCGGGAGGAGUCAGAAGUAUUCCAGAGGGAGCGGUAAAAUGUUAUAAUCUCUGGAGGACUACCUGUGGCGAAGGCGUCUGACCAGAACGGAUCUGACGGUGAGGGACGAAAGCUAGGGGAGCGAACCGGAUUAGAUACCCGAGUAGUCC
rnacentral:rRNA from 1 species